rnacentral:rRNA from 1 species
GCAAUAUCAUAGUGGCGCACGGGUGCGUAACACGUAUGCAACCUACCUAUUAUUGGGGGAUAGCCUUUGGAAACGGAGAUUAAUACCGCAUAAUACGAUUGACUGGCAUCGGUUGAUUGUUAAAGCUUCGGCGAUAAUAGAUGGGCAUGCGUCCAAUUAGUUAGUUGGUUAGGUAACGGCUGACCAAGACGAUGAUUGGUAGGGGAUCUGAGAGGAUAAUCCCCCACACUGGCACUGAGAUACGGGCCAGACUCCUACGGGAGGCAGCAGUAGGGAAUAUUGGGCAAUGGGCGGAAGCCUGACCCAGCCAUGCCGCGUGCAAGAAGAAGGCGUUGUGCGUUGUAAACUGCUUUUUUAUAGGAAGAAGGAUCCCUUGCGAGGGAAGGUGACGGUACUAUAAGAAUAAGCACCGGCUAACUCCGUGCCAGCAGCCGCGGUAAUACGGAGGGUGCAAGCGUUGUCCGGAUUUAUUGGGUUUAAAGGGUGCGUAGGCGGUUUAUUAAGUCAGUGGUGAAAGACGGUCGCUCAACGAUUGCAGUGCCAUUGAUACCGGUAGACUUGAGUGAGAUUGAAGUAGCUGGAAUGGAUAGUGUAGCGGUGAAAUGCAUAGAUAUUAUCCAGAACACCGAUUGCGAAGGCAGGU